rnacentral:rRNA from 1 species
GACAGAGGGUGCAAACGUUGUUCGGAUUCAUUGGGCGUAAAGGGUGCGUAGGCGGCGCGGUAAGUCGGGUGUGAAAUCUCGGAGCUUAACUCCGAAACUGCAUUCGAUACUGCCGUGCUUGAGGACUGGAGAGGAGACUGGAAUUUACGGUGUAGCGGUGAAAUGCGUAGAUAUCGUAAGGAAGACCAGUGGCGAAGGCGGGUCUCUGGACAGUUCCUGACGCUGAGGCACGAAGGUCAGGGGAGCAAACGGGG